UGACCAAGAAAUAUUUUAACUUUCGGAGAUAGCUAGAGAACUGGCAAACAAAACUUCGGAUUCCUGAACACAGAAACAUCGGGAAUAACAUCAGGACAGACCAAUUUAAGACUGGGUAAUGUAUGACCAAGCAAAUUCUUUCGAAUAAAGUUUGGUGUCCUGAAGCAACAUUGCCUUAUAAUAAAACGCUGGAGUAGGUACAGGAAUGAAUGGAGGAUGAGACUAAAGAAACUAAAUGCAACUCUAUGUCUGGCAACAAUGUCGCCACACUGAAAUUGUAACGCUUUGUGGCUCAGCUAAUAUUUGAUUGUUUUAUGGCAACACUGCUCGUAACUUUGCUUAUGGAGACCAUUUCAAGUGUUCUCAACACUCAUUAAAUAUAUAAGAAAUUCGAGGUUAAAGUUUAUAUUUUAGUUUUGCAAAAUUUACGCAAAAAAAUGCAGGCACAAUCUGAGCACCUUCAAUAAUAAGAAAUCCGCCUAGAACUGUUUACUAAAGGAGCAGUGAAAAAAUCUAGAAUUUUACUCACGCUGCCUUCGAGCAGAAGACAUGAUAUAAAACAGUAAUCUCAGCUGUUAUUUGUUGCCAGAAAUGCUAGCGGUAGUGAUGACGGCAUAAGUAGGUGGCACCUGCGGCAACACCUGCAACUUGGCGGAUAUGCUGAGCGAAGCACAAAUCUAGGGCAACUACAUAGGUAAGAAGGUAGGGAAGCAGAAGAAUGGAAUAUUGAGGCAGAAUAUUUACUUACACUUUAAAUUUUUUUUCUUUUGCCACAUUUUUUCUUCUUUUCGAC